GAUGAACGCUGGCGGCGUGCCUAAUACAUGCAAGUCGAGCGAACCACUUCGGUGGAGAGCGGCGAACGGGUGAGUAACACGUAGGUCAUCUACCCAUUAGACGGGGAUAACGUUUGGAAACGAACGCUAAUACCGGAUAGGAUGCAAAUUUAAAGGUGCUUUCGGGCACCGCUAAUGGAUGAGCCUGCGGCGCAUUAGCUAGUUGGUAAGGUAAGAGCUUACCAAGGCGACGAUGCGUAGCCGACCUGAGAGGGUGAACGGCCACACUGGGACUGAGACACGGCCCAGACUCCUACGGGAGGCAGCAGUAGGGAAUCUUCGGCAAUGGACGAAAGUCUGACCGAGCAACGCCGCGUGAAUGAAGAAGGCUUUCGGGUCGUAAAAUUCUGUUAUAAGGGGAGAAAGGUUAGAGUAGGAAAUGGCUCUAAAGUGACGGUACCUUAUGAGAAAGCCACGGCUAACUACGUGCCAGCAGCCGCCGUAA
rnacentral:rRNA from 1 species